AUCUAGGAAGGGAGGCCCGACUUGGUGGACCUGUCCAUUUUAGAUGGAUGUACCCAUUUGAAAGGUACAUGAAAGUCCUCAAAGACUUUGUUAGAAAUCCUGCUAGACCAGAAGGGUGCAUUGCUGAGUCUUAUCUUGCCGAGGAAUGUAUGAAGUUUUGCAGUGAAUUUCUCAAGAAGUCAACAAAUG